CAGUGAGGAAUCUUCCACAAUGGGCGAAAGCCUGAUGGAGCAACGCCGCGUGCAGGAUGAAGGCCUUCGGGUCGUAAACUGCUUUUAUGAGUGAAGAAUAUGACGGUAACUCAUGAAUAAGCACCGGCUAACUACGUGCCAGCAGCCGCGGUCAUACGUAGGGUGCAAGCAUUAUCCGGAGUGACUGGGCGUAAAGAGUUGCGUAGGUGGUUUGUUAAGUGAAUAGUGAAAUCUGGGGGCUCAACCUCACAGACUAUUAUUCAAACUGGCAAACUCGAGAAUGGUAGAGGUAACUGGAAUUUCUAGUGUAGGAGUGAAAUCCGUAGAUAUUAGAAGGAACACCAAUGGCGUAGGCAGGUUACUGGACCAUUUCUGACACUGAGGCACGAAAGCGUGGGGAGCGAACGGGAUUAGA
rnacentral:rRNA from 1 species